GGGGGUGCUUAACCGUAAGGGAAGGGUGACAGGGAAAGAAAAAGGAGUGGAGUAAGAAGAGAUGUUUCCGGAGGUGAAGUGGGAGCAGACCGAGGUCCUGCUUACUUGGUCUAGAGGGCAGAAGGGACAGUCCACAGGGACUGAGGGGAGUGGCAGGGAACAGGAAACUAUGAUGCUAAAGACAAGAACUUGAGGAAGACACGAUCCUGGCUGGGUCAGAAAAGGGGAUGCCGUUAGUAAGGAGCAGAAGACAUUCGUUAGGAAGCAGGCCAGGCGCAGUGGGGAGCAAAAGACGGCAUGCCAAAGGGACAGAAAGCAGCCAAGGCAUGGGGGCGCAAGGACGUGAACUGGAGAAGACAGACAGGAGUGUGGGAGUCGCAGAACCGGGAGAGAACCACCUCGUGAGACAGCUGGAUCUGAAUUCGUUUCCCUGUUUCACUCCUGAGGAAACUGAAGCUCGGAGAGCCCGAGGAAACCGGAUGUUGAGUAACCGGAAGCAAGGCCUCGCCGUGUUUGCACAACUGCCCUAACUGUGUAAGAGCUGCACCAACUAAACCAAAAGCGUGGAAGCAAACAGCUCUAACCGGGCGUUAGAGCGGCCCAGUAAUGACUUCAACUGUGCCGUGGUUUUGAAGUUACCUUUAUUUUAAAUUCAUGGUGUUUUCCCCAGCAGAACAAUAGAAUUCUUUACAAAUGGUGGCAAUUGGUGGCUUUGGCUGCCUACCAAAACACAAACUUACAGAUGUUGUGCAAAGUGCCUGGUGAAGAGAAGUAAAAAGAGUGAGAGUGAAAAACGGUGAAAAUAAGCUUAUUUAAGCCAUUAUUACUCCAGUCUGACAAUUGAUUUCACCCUACUGAUAAGGUAAAUCUGUUUACUGUUUCAUAGGUGUUGUGGAAGACACAAGAUUUCUGGGUCAGAGACAAAAGACCGUCUAUUACUCAAGACCCAAGAAGCAAGGAGCUUCAGCGUGUUUGUGUCAGUUCCUUUUGCCCUUCCCACAUCCUGAGUAACACAUGCUUGAAACAAAGGGCCCCAAUGAAUGCUGUGCCCUUAGUGGAUUCACAACACAGCUAAGAAACACUGAACUUGAGGAAGCUGCCAUUUUAUAGGAAGCAGUAAGCAAACCUGUUCUUUGACCUAGAGGGAGAUAUUACUUUAUCCCUCGUGGUUGCUCAUACAAAUACAUCCCCGCAACCCUGAAAUAUAACCCCAGUGAAAAACAGUCAGGACCUUGCAUUUUUGGCAUACCUAGGAAGAUGAAGCAUGAAGAUUACAGUACUGGGCUGGGGUUGUGGCUCAGUGGUAGAGCACUUGACACUAGAAAUAUUUUUUAAAAAAUAGUAGCUUAGGGAUGCAGAGAUAAAUAAGAUGAUAUCUACAAACUCCAUGAAGGGCACUAAUACAUGGUCAAACUAACAAAACACAUAUAUCUUGAUCUGGCAGUUCCACUUCCAGGAGUUCAUGCUAGUAUUACACUUUCACAGGUGUAAAAUGACUGUGUGUGUGUGUGUGUGUGUGUGUGUGUGUGUGUAGGGAAGUUGUUGCAGUACUGUUAGUUUCCAAUCGUUUGUGAAUUCAAUCUAACAGUUACUGGUUAAAUGAUACAUCCACAAUGGAAAACUGAAUCAUUGUAAAUAACGAAUAAGGAAACUGUUUAUGCACUGCUGUGGAAAGGUCUCAUGGAGACUGUGUAUGGUUAAGUGAGAACAAGGUGUAGCUCAGACUCUAGCACAUAAUACCAUCCUAUAUGAAAGGGGAAGCAUGUAUAUAUGUAUAUAUUUAGAAAUAUCACAAGAAACUGAUAACAUUAUGCUGCUGGGGAGGGAGACUAGACAGCUAGGGUGAAGUCAAGGGUAGAAAGGAGACUUUUUACUUUAUUCCUGUUUUGGUUUGGAUCUGGAAUGUACCCCCAAAACUCAUGUAUUGAAGUCUUGAUUCCACUGCAUCAGUGUUCAGAGGUAGGGCUUUUAGGAAGUCACUGCCCACAUCCUGUGUUGGUGAUGAGAUCAGGGUCACUCUGUGUGGUUUGGUCUGGCAAUGAAAAGACCACACAAACACAGAAGUACCUUUUGCAGGGGUCAGGGAUGGCUCUUCGACCUCAAGGGUCAAGCUCCCACACUGUACAGCACUGGAAAAGGUCACGAGGAGCAAGAGAGAACACACCAGAAACCCUCUAUUUAUUAGGAAAAAGACACUCCUUAGAAUAUUCCACUCAAAUAAGGAAAGGGAUACAAUUACAGAAAAUGGGGGUGGGGGAGAUGCCCAAGCCCAAAGCUAAGGCACUUCCUUGCCCAACAAAGGUUAAGACCCACUUGCUUCUCACAGCGUGCAAUGCUAGUUCAGUACCCCCAUUACUCAAGAUUGAGGGGGUGUGCCUAGCUCGUCUGCAGGGCAGCCCUGGCAGGAAGUGGUUGGAUCAUGAAAGCUUUAACCUAAUCCAUUGAUGAAUUCAUAGCUGAAUGGACUUUUGGAUGAUGGUGGAAGCUGUAGGAGGCGGGGCCUAGUUGAGGGGCAUGGAUCCCUGGAGUACUGUAUCUUUUCUCCGACCCCUUCUCUUUCUCUCCUCUCUGCCUCCCUCUGCUUUAUAGCUGCCAUGAGGUUACCAGCUUUGCUCUGUCACUCCCUUCCACCACAAUGCUCUGCCUCAUCCCAGGCUCAGAAACAGUGGAGUCUGCUGACAGUGACCUGAAACUGUGGGCCAGAAUAAAUCUUUCCUCCUUUAAA